GGGCGGGCGGCGGGGCGGGGGGGCGGCGGCGAGAAGCCCUCCCCUCUGCCCGGCGCCCCCCCCCGGCUGCGCCGCCCGCCCGGCGCCCCCCGCCGCCCGGCAGCAGCGCCUCCGACCCGCCACCCAUCGCUGGAUGUUCCUCCACUUUACCCACCGUAUCAAACAACUUUUACCAGUAAAUAUCGGUUUAUUCCUGAAACCAGAAGCCCUAAACAUACCUUUGUUUAUAAGGUCAGUUGUCAUUUUGUCUCUCUCGUUCCCCGCUCCCCCCCAGUACAAACCGGCAGGUGAUUGAAAGGUACCGAGUUUUCUUUCUAGUUUUCCUGCUCUGCAUCUCUGGGAACUGGAGCCCGCAGGACCUAGAGCCUUCUGUUGGUAACGUAGACCCGAGUUUACAAAUUAUUCUUUUACCGUUUUAAAGCCUGCUUUUAAGGACAGAGGUGUUCCCGGCUGCCCACUACGGGAACUGAUAGGAACCCCUGCAAAUGCAUAAAUUGCUUGACCUCUCCAAAGCCAACGGGUAGGUCCCUCACAAGCAUCUUCAGACUUGGGGCUGAGAAAAUAAUUUAUCCAAAAAUAUUCACUAAAAAAUGCCAUUUCUGUUUUACAGUGAGCAGGACUGGGGGAGGGAAGGGCGGGAAAGGAACUUGAAAAUUAUUUUCUCCCCCCCCCAUUUUUUUCUAAUUUGCUGCUAGAAAGCAAGUAUGACGUGGGGAGGAGGGAGAGAAUUUGAAUGUUGCCCUUCCUAAAUUUGCUGUAAACUCUUCCUCCAAGGCAAGGAGAAAGGGCAAGUAAAAGGUCUGAUCCUUAAAAGGACAUUGCUAGGUGUCGGGGACCCCAAAAGCAGCUGGCGCUUUUUAAUGACGGGAAUUGCUUUAGGUCAUUUUUUCAGAGUUUUGGUUUAUACCAAGACAAAUUGACUUGGGAGUGUUGAAGCCUCCUUUUUUUUUCCGCAAGUGUUUGCGACCCAAACACAACAGCGUUAUGCUAAUACUCAAGAAACAGAGAAGCUGGUGAGGAAUAGAAAAUGAGUUGACUGCACAGUCCCAGCCAAUUUUUUUCUCCCAAGCAAAUAAAAUGAAAAAAAAAAAAAAAAAACCCCCAAAAAAAAAAACCAACCCAGCCCCAACACCCAAAAAACGCAACCUCCCAAAAAAGCAAGCCAAAGAGGAUCUCAAAUGCCUAGCCUGGUUUUAUUGUACAUGGUUGGCAAGAGCGUUUUUGGCAUAGCUGCAACCUAACUAUGUCCCUUUAAGGAGCACCAGCAGCUAAUUUCCUCCUAAUGAACCCAAAAGCUGAGGUUUUUGCAGUUUUUGAGUGCAGAUCAAAGCUCCUGCAGCCUUAGUUGGAGUCCAAAAUGAGGGGAGCCCUUCCAGCUGUGCACUUUGAGCUGAAAACUACCUUUCCUCCCCUUUUGCAGCCUGGGUGGUUCUGAUUGCUGGCAGUUCUGUAAUACAACUUUAAUCUGAGCAAUUGAGGCUGGUCCUACAUUAUCUUCAGACGUCUUGCGGAGGACUCCUGUUACCAGUUUGGUACUCAAAAGCUACACCCCACCAUCAGAAGUCACUUACUUUUUUUUCAAAGGCAGUGAUAGAUUACCCUCUCUAGCUCUAAUGGAAAAAUGAUAAUUGCAAUGCAACUUUCUAAUAAAUUGUUCAUAUAUUCAUAAUUCCGUUGCAAUCCCAAAUUGGAGAAGAGAUCUGUUAAAGGUAUAUAUUAGUCUAGAUUUUUUCUUAUUGUAAAUACUGUAAUUUUAUAAUACUGUCAAUAUUUUAUUAACUUAGAAAUAUUUAACAGAGUUUAAUCUAUGGUAGUUGAUUUAUUUAUAGGUUUAUGUUGCAGCCAAUAUUGCAUUACAUUCUAAUGUAAGAUUAACUUUCAGCGUGUAAACAUUGAUUUAAUAUACCAUUGGAAAGAUUAAGAGAGAAAACUCUCACUCUUAAUCUGUAAUAUUUAUCCCCCAAUUUCCAGUUUGGAAUUAUUUAACGAAAUAUUAGGAGGUUUCAAGAGCUCAUGAAUCUAACAACUGCUGGAUUUGAAAACUUGAAUUUUGAAAUGUACCUGGCUCUUUCACCCUGUGAACAAGUUUGCUUCAAUAUCUAAUCUAUAUAGUACGGAAGUCUUUAUUUUGAGCAAAGGGACACUGUCAGAUAAUUUUAGAUUCUUGUUUGGGGGGGGGGGGAGCAAAACUCACCCCCAGUGCAUGUGUCUUAAUUCUUUUUUAAUCUCAAGGGGAAAAAAUCUGUUUCUUGUUCAUUUGGGUAUUUGGCUGGAAACAUUCCCGCAGCAGUUUGCAUCCGUGCAGCCAGGGCUCGGGUGGAAAUCCAGCCACUACGAGGAGUCUCUCCAGUCCCGGCGAGAGGCGAGAUGCCUGGCGGUGCUGCCACGGUCCUGCCAUCCCUGGCACCGACUGCAGUCGGAGCUCGGUGAGAUGGGUGAAAGUGCACAAGGUCUAAAACUUGCCAAUUUUUGAACAAAGUUUUUGCUUUUUUUUUAAAAUUACUCUCUCUCUCUUUUAGCCUGAUGGUGUCCCUUUAACAGCAUAAAGAUGUUCACGUUCUCUGAAAAACCUUUAGAAAUUAUUUUCUUUUUAAGGCAGGGGAGAAUUGGUCUGUAAUAUGUUUGCAACGUAACUUGCAUAAAAAUACCAAAAAUAUAUCAAGGGUUUUCACGGGAGUUGGUAUUUUUUGAGUGUAAAAGUUAAUCUUUAUUAGAGAUGUGCCAAUCUAUACUGCUUUAUUGUAGUGUUGUUACACUUAGGCGUUUCAGUUAACUUACGAAUAUAUACUGUAACAGUAUACUUUGUACAGAUUUAUUUAAAAUUUAUUUGAAAACUGAAAUAAAGUAGGCAGAAAAUAAAGAUAUUUAUUUUUCAUUUGACUAUGUAAGAAGGUAUCAUUCUUUUGGUUUUAGUGCACUGGUGUACCAAGCCUCAGAACCACUGCUUUCUCCAGCUCAUAGGAUGCUUUUCCGAGACUGUGGAUACGUGUUUGUGUACUGCUGUGUUGAUAAGUAAAUGCCAACGAUGGAGUUCGUUGCUUUUAUACAUCCCAAAGAGAAGUUCUCCACCGUUCAUUUUCUGUUUUCUGACCGAAAAGGCGUGUGUUUGUGAACAGUGUUCACGCAAGUUCUGCCAUCCCACUCUCACAUCAGCUUAUACCAAUGCCAGGAUGGGAGGAUUUGCCUGCGUACCUUCCCCAAAACACCCCGGUCCGCAGUGGCAUCGUCAGGGAGCAGUUCAAAUGUGUGUCCUUUGGGCUUUGUGUAAAGCAAACGCAGAACAAGAAAAAUCAAGAUGUUAAAUCCAUUAGAAAACAAAUUCCUUAUUGUACAGUAGUAUGGAGAUCUCUAGUCAACCUGCCAUUAAUAAUAGAUUCUUAUUUUUUGAAUGAUCUAUUUAAAAGAACAGCAAGCAUUGUAUUUGCUAGUAAAUCUGAAGUGUUUACAUGGAAUUACUAAAUAAAUUAUUUGAUCUAA